rnacentral:rRNA from 1 species
GAUGAACGCUAGCGGCAGGCCUAACACAUGCAAGUCGAACGGUAACAUAGGAAAGCUUGCUUUCCUGAUGACGAGUGGCGCACGGGUGCGGAACGCGUAUGGAACCUGCCCCUGUCAGGGGAAUAGCCCAGAGAAAUUUGGAUUAAUGCCCCAUGGUAACACCAAGUUGCAUGAUUUGGUGUUUAAAGAUUUAUCGGACAGGGAUGGCCAUGCGUAUCAUUAGCUAGUUGGUAAGGUAACGGCUUACCAAGGCAACGAUGAUUAGGGGCCCUGAGAGGGGGAUCCCCCACACUGGUACUGAGACACGGACCAGACUCCUACGGGAGGCAGCAGUGAGGAAUAUUGGACAAUGGUGGGAACACUGAUCCAGCCAUGCCGCGUGCAGGAUGACUGCCCCAUUGGGUUUGUAAAACUGCUUUUAUACGGGAAAACCCAGGUACGUGUACCUGGCUGACGGUACCGUAAG